CCUACGGGAGGCAGCAGUAGGGAAUCUUCCGCAAUGGACGAAAGUCUGACGGAGCAACGCCGCGUGAGCGAAGAAGGCCUUCGGGUCGUAAAGCUCUGUUGUUAGGGAAGAACAAGUACGAGAGUAACUGCUCGUACCUUGACGGUACCUAACCAGAAAGCCACGGCUAACUACGUGCCAGCAGCCGCGGUAAUACGUAGGUGGCAAGCGUUGUCCGGAAUUAUUGGGCGUAAAGCGCGCGCAGGCGGUCCUUUAAGUCUGAUGUGAAAGCCCACGGCUCAACCGUGGAGGGUCAUUGGAGACUGGGGGACUUGAGUGCAGAAGAGGAGAGUGGAAUUCCACGUGUAGCGGUGAAAUGCGUAGAGAUGUGGAGGAACACCAGUGGCGAAGGCGACUCUCUGGUCUGUAACCGACGCUGAGGCGCGAAAGCGUGGGGAGCAAACAGGAUUAGAUACCCUGGUAGUCCACGCCGUAAACGAUGAGUGCUAAGUGUUAGAGGGUUUCCGCCCUUUAGUGCUGCAGCUAACGCAUUAAGCACUCCGCCUGGGGAGUACGGCCGCAAGGCUGAAACUCAAAGGAAUUGACGG
rnacentral:rRNA from 1 species